CGUCGUGUUGUCCGAGUUGUGGUCCGUCGCGCACCUGGAGGGGGGGACGUCAGCCCCGCGGGGAAAAAACCCUCCCUGCACUAUAAAUACUGCCAGCACCGCGAGGCUGGGGCAGCGAAGGAAGGGAGCGGGGCCCGCUCAGAGAGGCACCGUGUAAUUUGAAGGAACCAAAGCUGCGCUUGCAGGAGGAAGGCAAACGGGGAAAAGUUGCUUUUGGACCCAGGGCUGAGGUUUUUGGCCAUCUCCAGCCUCCUGUCUCCACCCCUUCCUUGACAUUUUCUACGUUUUUCAGUAAAGCCUUUGAAAAGUUCCAGGUUCCUCAAACAUCACAUUCUCCUGGUUUAAAAGGCUCGGAUUUGGUUGCAGGAAAUUAAUAAAUAUCUACAUAUAU